rnacentral:lncRNA from 1 species
GGAGCAAAAUCGAGUGACAUUCUAUAUAAUAAUCUCGUCUUAUUUCUCGAUGAAGGUAUGCAUACAUGAAGCUGGUGAAGGUGUGUUGUGCAUUCCUUGGUACUUUGUCCUUCGAGUUUUCCCGGCUUUGAUAUCCCAAUGGUUGAUAACACCAUACAAGGUGGUCGAAAUUCCAUAUCAAUGGGAUAAGGGUCCCAGUAUCCUUGGAGACCCGAUGCAGGUGUCAAAAACUUCACCAAACUGCAAUUUUCAGAUUACACAAAGUAAUAUCAUAUAUUCAAAAUCGAUACCAAUCAUACAUUUUUAGCAUCUACUCAAUCUGUACUACUAACGUGCAAGAUAUUUAGGAGUCAACGAUAUAAAAACAAUUCAGAAUUACGGGGUGAAGGCAAAGCAUGACAACAACGCAUCUUAUCCUCAUGAAUGUUUUUUUUUUCCUAAGCAUUCCGAUACGAUGGUAACUUUUCUGUCAAGUAAGAUGUCUGGAAGUCCAGACUUUUAAUCAUUCAUCCAUCCGUACAGUUUCAUGCACAAGUUAAAAUAAGACCAUUCCGCUUCAAAGCUAAAAUACAACAGCAAUAAACCUUUUCCCAAUCUGAUUGCAGAAACAAACCUUG